rnacentral:rRNA from 1 species
CGGCGGACGGGUGAGUAACACGUGGGCAACCUGCCUAUAAGACUGGGAUAACUUCGGGAAACCGGAGCUAAUACCGGAUAAUUCUUUUCUACACAUGUAGAAAAGCUAAAAGACGGUUUACGCUGUCACUUAUAGAUGGGCCCGCGGCGCGUUAGCUAGUUGGUGAGGUAACGGCUCACCAAGGCCACGAUGCGUAGCCGACCUGAGAGGGUGAUCGGCCACACUGGGACUGAGACACGGCCCAGACUCCUACGGGAGGCAGCAGUAGGGAAUCUUCCGCAAUGGACGAAAGUCUGACGGAGCAACGCCGCGUGAGUGAUGAAGGUUUUCGGAUCGUAAAACUCUGUUGUUAGGGAAGAACAAGUACGAGAGUAACUGCUCGUACCUUGACGGUACCUAACCAGAAAGCCACGGCUAACUACGUGCCAGCAGCCGCGGUAAUACGUAGGUGGCAAGCGUUGUCCGGAAUUAUUGGGCGUAAAGCGCGCGCAGGCGGUCCUUUAAGUCUGAUGUGAAAGCCCACGGCUCAACCGUGGA